UUGGACGAUGGGCGCAAGCCUGGAUCCAGCCAUGCCGCGUGAGUGAUGAAGGCCUUAGGGUUGUAAAGCUCUUUCACCGAUGAAGAUAAUGACGGUAGUCGGAGAAGAAGCCCCGGCUAACUUCGUGCCAGCAGCCGCGGUAAUACGAAGGGGGCUAGCGUUGUUCGGAAUUACUGGGCGUAAAGCGCACGUAGGCGGAUAUUUAAGUCAGGGGUGAAAUCCCGCAGCUCAACUGCGGAACUGCCUUUGAUACUGGGUAUCUUGGAGUAUGGAAGAGGUAAGUGGAAUUCCGAGUGUAGAGGUGAAAUUCGUA
rnacentral:rRNA from 1 species